ensembl:snRNA U6 U6 spliceosomal RNA
GUGCUCGCUUCAGCAGCACAUACACUAAAGUUGUGAAUGAUACAGAGAAGAUUAGUAUGUCCUCUGUGCAAGGAAAAAAAAUCAGAUUACUAAAAGCUACAACUAGAAUUU